rnacentral:rRNA from 1 species
AUUGAACGCUGGCGGCAGGCCUAACAAAUGCAAGUCGAGCGGAGCGGCGGACGGGUGAGUAAUGCCUAGGAAUCUGCCUGGUAGUGGGGGAUAACGGACGGAAACGGUCGCUAAUACCGCAUACUAUCAGAUGAGCCUAGGUCGGAUUAGCUAGUUGGUGGGUUAAAGGACUACCAAGGCGACGAUCCGUAACUGGACUGAGAGGAUGAUCAGUCACACUGGAAUUGAGACAGGGUCCAGACUCAUACGGUAGGAAGCAGUGGGGAAGACUGCACAAUGGGCGAAAGCCUGAUCCAGCCACGCCGCGUGGGUGAAGAAGUUCUUCGGAUUGUAAAGGACUAUAAGUUGGGAGACGCUACCAAAAGAAUAAGCACCGGCUAACUUCGUGCCAGCAGACGCGGUAAUAC